AGAGGUGUAGCUCAGUGGUAGAGCACUUGCCUAGCAUCCUGGGUUCCAUUCCCAGUACCACAA
rnacentral:tRNA from 1 species